UACAGAGGGGGCGAGCGUUGUUCGGAAUUACUGGGCGUAAAGGGCGCGUAGGCGGCCUCUUAAGUCGAACGUGAAAUCCCCGGGCUCAACCCGGGAACUGCGUCCGAUACUGGGAGGCUUGAAUCCGGGAGAGGGAUGUGGAAUUCCAGGUGUAGCGGUGAAAUGCGUAGAUAUCUGGAGGAACACCGGUGGCGAAGGCGGCAUCCUGGACCGGUAUUGACGCUGAGGCGCGAAAGCGUGGGGAGCGAACAGG
rnacentral:rRNA from 1 species